rnacentral:lncRNA from 1 species
CUAAAAUUGAUUAAUUUGCAGGUUAUUGCGAGUGUUUUGAGGAAUUUGUCUUGGCGAGCAGAUGUAAAUAGUAAAAAGACGUUGCGAGAAGUUGGAAGUGUGAAAGCAUUGAUGGAAUGUGCUUUAGAAGUUAAAAAGGAAUCAACCCUCAAAAGCGUAUUGAGUGCCUUAUGGAAUUUGUCAGCACAUUGCACUGAGAAUAAAGCUGAUAUAUGUGCUGUAGAUGGUGCACUUGCAUUUUUGGUUGGCACUCUUACUUACCGGAGCCAGACAAACACUUUAGCCAUUAUUGAAAGUGGAGGUGGGAUAUUACGGAAUGUGUCCAGCUUGAUAGCUACAAAUGAGGACCACAGGCAAAUCCUAAGAGAGAACAACUGUCUACAAACUUUAUUACAACACUUAAAAUCUCAUAGUUUGACAAUAGUCAGUAAUGCAUGUGGAACUUUGUGGAAUCUCUCAGCAAGAAAUCCUAAAGACCAGGAAGCAUUAUGGGACAUGGGGGCAGUUAGCAUGCUCAAGAACCUCAUUCAUUCAAAGCACAAAAUGAUUGCUAUGGGAAGUGCUGCAGCUUUAAGGAAUCUCAUGGCAAAUAGGCCUGCGAAGUACAAGGAUGCCAAUAUUAUGUCUCCUGGCUCAAGCUUGCCA